UUCUCAGGUCAUUUCCCUGGCUGCGUAAGAUCAAUGAGAUCCUGAUUGUGACUUGUGCAUUUGAAGCUGAAGUGGCCCUUUAUUACCUGUGGAGGCGGCAUAAAUGCAGAGGAUUUCUUUAUAGAGAACUAUCCGUUUGGCAAGACUGGAAAUUUAUAGGGACAGUUUUUACGCUGGUAAUUUUAAAGGGUGUUCUGGUUGUAAUGGAAAUCAUAUUUAUUAUGAAACCAUACAUAUCAAGAAUGUCACCACACCUUGCCAGGUCCCUGAGAUGAUAAUAAGGUGACUACAUGGAAGCUUGGGGCAUUGCUGCAUCCAGCCAUGGAUGACUGAUCUCUGAAGGAUUCACCAUGGUAGAUGACUGCUGAGCCAGAACAGAUGAUGCCUCAUCAAAUGUACAAAAAUCAAGCUACUAACCUCCCUGAUUCUCUCUUCCGUUCUAGCCUUGAAACUUGAGGUCUCUUUAAUGCUGCAAUAGGAGAAUCAGGUUGGGGAAAGGAUGAUUGCCCUGUUUUCCACCCAGCCACCAUGUAUCUGUGAUCACAUGGCCACUUCUGACUCUUGUUUGUUUAUGUUGUCCUGACUUUGUCAAAUAAGUUCCUCCCUUCUGGAUUUGUCAAGGACUGGCUGGGACCUUGUGAUUUGAAAGGUCUGAAAUUCCUAAGUUCCAGUGAGCAAUUGGAUGUCAAAAGGGACCAUUUCUGCAUCAGAGAAGAUGCCCCCAGAAAGAUGCCUGACCCAAGCUGGGCAUAUGAUCUGACAAUGUCAGAGGUAAAAUGUAAAGUGCUUGCUUAAUGUAUUGUAAACUGCCUUACAGGACAGCUAGGUGGCUCAGUGGAUAGAGUGUGGCU